UACGGAGGGUGCAAGCGUUAUCCGGAUUUAUUGGGUUUAAAGGGUCCGUAGGCGGAUCGUUAAGUCAGCGGUGAAAGCCCACAGCUCAACUGUGGAAUUGCCGUUGAUACUGGCGAUCUUGAGUAUAAGUGAAGUUGGCGGAAUGUGUGGUGUAGCGGUGAAAUGCUUAGAUAUCACACAGAACACCGAUUGCGAAGGCAGCUGGCUAACUUGUAACUGACGCUGAGGGACGAAAGUGUGGGGAUCAAACAGG
rnacentral:rRNA from 1 species